GCAGCAGCAGCCGCGGGAAUACGUAGGUGGCAAGCGUUGUCCGGAAUUAUUGGGCGUAAAGGGCUCGCAGGCGGUUUCUUAAGUCUGAUGUGAAAGCCCCCGGCUCAACCGGGGAGGGUCAUUGGAAACUGGGAAACUUGAGUGCAGAAGAGGAGAGUGGAAUUCCACGUGUAGCGGUGAAAUGCGUAGAGAUGUGGAGGAACACCAGUGGCGAAGGCGACUCUCUGGUCUGUAACUGACGCUGAGGAGCGAAAGCGUGGGGAGCGAACAGGAUUAGAUACCCGCGUAGUCCCUGUCUCUUAUAC
rnacentral:rRNA from 1 species